rnacentral:lncRNA from 1 species
ACAAAUAACGAAAAAAGUAGUACCAAAAAAAGUAAUAUCAAACAAGAUAGUACCAAACAAGAUAGUACCAAACAAGAUAGUACCAAACAAGAUAGUACCAAUACAUGUACACGGUCUCGUAGUGAUAGUACCAGUACUAUUUUGAGUAAAAGUAGAAACAAUAGAUUAGGUGUUCGUACACGUAGUGCUAAUAUUCUCGGUAAUGUUAACUCGUGUAAUAGUCAUAAUAAUAAUGUUAAACUAGAUAAACAUGUAGGUACAUAUAAUAGUAUAGUUCGUAGUAAAUCAUAUGCAACUAAUAUAAAGUUAUGUACUCGUAAACGUAGUGACAGUAUUUUAUGUAAACAUGCAGAGUAUGGUUCAUCUAAUGAAAGUAAUAAUAAUAAUAAUAAUAAUAAUAAUAAUAAUAAUAAAAAAAAUAAUAAAAAAAAAUUAUAUAUUUGAUAAAAAUAAACUUAUGCAAAUUUGUAAGGAAACACAUAAACAAGUAACUAGAAUGACAGAAAUUUUAUUAUUAGCUGCUGUAUUACCACACCCAUUACCUGUAUAUACCGAACAUGAAGAUAAACCUUCUGGCACUUUAAGAAAAAGAGAAAAAAGAAGUGAAAGUAAUACUAGUGCUACUGUUUCUGCUGCUACUUCUACAAAUACUAACAAUACAUACAAUGAAAACUCAAUGGAAAAAUUUGAAACUUCAGACGCUUGUAAAGAUGUUCGAAUACGAGUCAAAAAAAGAAUGAAACAAUUUUAUAUUAGCGAUAUGAUCAAUAAAAAUCUAAGUUGUACGACUUCGGACAUAUUCCGUGAUUAUGUAAGUUAAGAUGGGACAAAAAUAGGUUGUUGUCUAUACGUUAUAUAUGACCAUUACUUGUAUAUAUGACCAUUAUGUGUGUAUAUGACCAUUAUGUGUGUAUACCAUCAUACAAAAAGUAUGCGGACCAGUUUUUAUUGGCUUGCUUUUGCCAUAUGUGUAUAUCUCCCGUCAUGUACUAACAUGUACCAACGCGUU